rnacentral:rRNA from 1 species
GGGCCCGCACAAGCGGUGGAGCAUGUGGUUUAAUUCGAUGAUACGCGAGGAACCUUACCAGGGCUUAAAUGUAGUCUGACAGCUUUAGAGAUAGAGUUUUCUUCGGACAGAUUACAAGGUGCUGCAUGGUUGUCGUCAGCUCGUGCCGUGAGGUGUCAGGUUAAGUCCUAUAACGAGCGCAACCCCUGUCGUUAGUUGCCAGCAUGUAAAGAUGGGGACUCUAACGAGACUGCCGGUGCAAACCGCGAGGAAGGUGGGGAUGACGUCAAAUCAUCACGGCCCUUACGUCCUGGGCCACACACGUGCUACAAUGCUACGGACAAAGGGCAGCAAGUUCGCGAGGACAAGCAAAUCCCAUAAACCGUGGCUCAGUUCAGAUCGUAGGCUGCAACUCGCCUACGUG